CCUACGGGCGGCUGCAGUGAGGAAUCUUGGUCAAUGGACGAGAGUCUGACCCAGCCACGUCGCGUGAAUGAUGACUGCCCUAUGGUUUGUAAACUUCUUUUAUCUGGGAAUAAAAUGUUCCUCGUGAGGGAUUUUGUAUUUACCAUUUCAAUAAGGAUCGGCUAAAUCCGUGUCAGCACCCGCGGUCAUACGUAGGAUCGGAGUGUUAUCCGGAUUUUUUGGGUUUAAAGGGAGGGUAAGGGGAAUGUUAAGUCAGUUGUGAAAGUUUGGGGGUCAACCGUAAAAAUGCAGUUGAAACUGGCAGUCUAGAGUACCGUAGAGGUGAGUGGAAUUCGUGGUGUAGCGGUGAAAUGCUUAGAUAUCACGAAGAACACCGAUUGCGAAGGCAGCUCACUGGACGGCAACUGACACUGAGGCGCGAAAGUGUGGGUAGCAAACAGGAUUAGAUACCCGGGUAGUC
rnacentral:rRNA from 1 species